GACGAACGCUGGCGGCGUGCAUAACACAUGCAAGUCGAACGAUGAAGAAGAGAAUGGAGACUUCGGUCAAAGUUCGCUUCGGAUUAGUGGCAGACGGGUGAGUAACGCGUGAGAAACCUGCCUUUCACAACGGGAUAGCCUCGGGAAACUGGGAUUAAUACCGUAUGAUACUUCUACUUAGCAUUAAGAAGAAGUCAAAGCGUAAAGCGGUGAAAGAUGGUCUCGCGUCCCAUUAGUUAGUUGGUGAGGUAACGGCUCACCAAGACUUCGAUGGGUAGCCGGCCUGAGAGGGUGAACGGCCACACUGGGACUGAGACACGGCCCAA
rnacentral:rRNA from 1 species